rnacentral:lncRNA from 10 species
UCCUCUUCAAAAUGCAAGAUGUCGAUCAACAUUCAUGCUGUUCCUAUUUCUAUUUUUUUCCUCCCUUCUACCCCUUACUCCUGAAAUGGAUAAGAAGAGGCAAUAAUAGCAUCCCAGCAAAUCAGAACUGGCUCAGAUGCCAAAGGCCUAAAAGAGACGAUCGCAUUAGCAAGAAGGCCUGUGACUAAAAAUCCAAAACCUAAAACUACUAUACGUAAACCUAGGGCUCAAAUAGCCUACACUACUGUGACAUCAGAAGCAUUAUUUCUCAAGAUUGAGAAGGGCUAGUGAAAACGCUUCUGGGCCUGCAAAGCUGUGAACUGAUGUGCAAGGCUGCAGUAGCCCAAGCUGAUCCUGAUGAACACUGGAGCUGUCUCUGCCUCUUUAUGUAAAUAGAAAAUGUUCCUAAUAAACGUGUACUAGGUCGUUGUCGGUAAACACAUGUUAGGCACCCGCUUGGCCUGCACCGAUCUGACCAGAUCUAUUUCCAUUUCCCCGAACCAUCGCUUGGAUGAUGAAGCACAUCGCAGAGUACUGCUUCAUCACCAUUCAGGAAUUGUACCCUUUUAAAUUUCUAUAUGGGUAUGCGCUGCUUUUGACACAGCUUUUGUUGUAAGCAGGCACUAAAAUAGAAGCUUAUAAUUAGCUAUCUGGGGAGGCAAGUGUGUGGUAGAACAGAGCUCAGCAAGAGAAAAGUCAAGGCAGGUCCUGGGGAAACACUGCAUGGAAGAUGAGUAAUACAGAGCCCAAGAGUGGAUUGGCAGGAAGGGUGCAGGACCUAACCCAAUGACAAUGCUCGCAGGAGGAGCCCUCCAGAAGGCAACAGCUCCAAACCUCUUGGUACAAAGGAACUCUCUACGUUUAGUUCUCUCGACAACUACCUACUAUAAGAUGAAGUUUCCAGGAACUCAUGUGAUCAUGAGACUCUGCAGUCACUUCAGGGGGUCUUGUUGACUGGCUCGGGGGGCUGGUGUCAAGCCCAAGCAGAAGAGCCCUCAGAGCAAGCAGCCCUGCUUCUGUGGAUGCUGGAUGGCAUCAUCACCAGGCGGGUCCUUCAGAGUACUGGGAGCAGCAUGCAGCCCGAUAGAGUUGGCAAACGUGAAUCUACUAGAAGAUUGACAUGGAGAUCGAGUAGGUAUUCUUUUUAUUAAUAUUCCGUCAUCAAACUGUCUUUACAAAUAUCUACCUUCAUUUUGGCUCUUCCCUAGGUGGUAACUAAUACAUCUGACUAGUAAAUCAUGUCUAAUAUAUAGGACUUCAUAAUGUGUUACAUAGCGCUUGAUGCUCAAAUGCAAACGUCCUGUUUUUUUGGGUUUUUUGUUGUUGUUGUUGUUGUUGUUGUUGUUGUUUUUAAGAGACAGUGUCUUCACUCUGUCACCCAGGCUAAGCUGGAAUGCAGGGGGCCAACCAUAGCUCACUGUACCCUUGAAUGCCUGGGCUCAAGUGAUCCUCCCACCUCAGCCUCCCAAGUAGAUGGGAUUACAGGCACUAGCCACUGCGCCCAGCUGUAUUAGUCUAUUUUCACACUGCUGAUAAAGACAUACCAGAGACUGGGCAAUUUACAAAAGAAAGAGGUUUAUUGGACUUACAGUUCCACCUGGCUGGGGAGGCCUCAUAAUCAUGGAGGAAGGCAAGGAGGAGCAAGUCAUAUCUUACAUGGAUGGCAGCAGGCAAAGAGAGAGAACUUGUGCAGGGGAGCUCCUCUUUAUAAAACUAUCAGAUCUCAUGAGACUUAUUCACUAUCACAAGAACAGCACAGGAAAGGCUUGUCCCCAUGAUUCAAUUAUCUCCCACUUGGUCCCCCCACAACACAUGGGAAUUCAAGAUGAGAUUUGGGUGGGGACACAGCCAAACCAUAUAACCAGCUGAUGCUCAAAUGUUUUUAUUACAUAAGUAAUACAUUUUAGCUCUUUCUGUGAUGAACCAAUUGUAUAUCCUUAUUUUAAACACUGUCUAGUUUGUAAAUGUUUUGUUUUAGGCAUUAUGCCAGAGAAAUUGUUCCCUGAAAUGAAAAUGUUUUAUUUGUAGAAGCGUAUCACAGUCUCUUCAUCAGAAUCUGAUACUUUUAUUUAUGCACAAAUCCAAGCAGGUUAGAAUUUGAAUAAGAAUAGGGAGAGCAUUUUUGAAACAGGUACACUGACUUGGGCAAGAGGUGAGAAAAAGUGAAGGAGAGAGAAAAAUCUAUAUCAAAAGUAGGCAUACCAAAAGAAACAGCUGAAAGUUGAAAACAUUUCUCAGAAGAGAAGGAAAUCUCCCCAUAUUGCCCCCCUCCAUUUCUAUUCCACAGGAGUGAAAGGGUGACAUUUUUGGAUCAAACUUUGUAGAAGCAUGGCAGCCAGCCUCUAGGAGGGCCCCUAAGAUGACUCUUGUCUGGUGGCCUUCAUGCUCUUGUGUAGACCCCUCCCAGUAGAAAUAGGCCUGACCUGUGUAACUGAUAGGAUAUUGUGGAAAUGAUGAAGUGUGACUUCCAAGGCUAGUUAAUAAAAGACAUUGCAGUUUCUGCCUUUGGAUCUGUCUUGGAUCAUUUGAUCUGAGGGAAGCCAGUUGGCAUGUCAUGAAGACAUACAAGCAACCCCAUGAAGAGGCCCACGUGGUGAGGAACUGAGGCCUCCUGCCAACAUCCAGCAGCAACUUACCAACAGUGAGAGUGAACCACUUAGGAACCGGAUCCUUCAGUUCCAGUCAAGCCUUCAGAUGUCUGCAACCCUGGACAACAUCUUGACUGCAACUUCAUGAAAGACCCUGAGGGAGCCCCAAACCACCUAAGAUUGCCCCAAAUUCUUGACCCACAAACUAUGAGAUAACAAAUAUUCAUCAUUGGCUGGGCAUGGUGGCUUAUACCUGCAAUCCCAGCACUUUGGGAGGCCAAGGUGGGUGAAUCACUUGAGGCCAGGAGUUCGAAACCAGCCUGGCCAAUGUGGUAAAACCCUUUCUCUACAAAAAAUACAAAAAAAAAAAAAAAAAAAGAAAAAAAAAAAAAGCCAGAUAUGGUGCCAGACAUGUAAUACCAGCUACUUGGGAGGCUGAGGUGGGAGAAUCGCUUGAACCCAGGAGGUAGAGCUUGCAGUGAGCUGAGAUAGCGCCACUGCACUUCAGCCUGGGUGACAAAGUGAGAUCCUGUCUCAAAAAAAUAUAUAUAUAUAUUAAUAUUUUCACAUAGUUUCUGGAAUCUUUAACCAAUAUCAAAAUUCAAGACUAUGGACAAGAUGAUGAGUCAUAAGGCCAGUUUGUAUAACCAUAGGAUGCAAGGACCAAACUUCUUUAGAUCUUGUUCUAACACACAGUUACUUAAGUCCAAAGAGGACAAUGAAAUGAGGACUUUCUCAUUCAGUCUGUCAGUCCUAUAUGUGAUGUUUUAGGUUUGCUUCAGCCUAGCCCAGAAUGCAUCUUGUAAAGGUUAUAUGUGUGUUGAUGGUAUACAUACAUGCUUGUAUGUCCAUGCAUUGGAGGGAAGAGAUUAGGGUUUAAAAGUAUAAAGCUAAUAUGUUUAUUAAGGAAAAUUAAAACACAAGUAGAAAAAAAUAAAAUAAAACCCUUUUUCAAAAGCAUGUAAUAAAAAGCAAAAACCUAACAGAACUUCAGUUCACAUUGUUAUUUACUUCCUUCUCAU